GAAUGUGGUGGAAGUGAUGAUAUACCAGUUACAGACACAUUUUUUAAGAGGAUUGCAGCAUCCAGGUCCCCCUCUAGGGUUUCUCAUUCUUGGAACAAUUCUUGGAACUCACCCAUCAUACUGUGAGAAACCCAAGCCACAUGUGUAGGACACAUGUUGAUGAUCCAAUUGACAGUCUCAAGCGAACUCUUUGCCAACAACCAGCAUCAAAUGCUGCCAGGUAAAUGGGAAAUCUUGGCUGUCCCAGCACAAUUGAGCCCAUAGAUGAUGCAGCCAAAUCCAAUUUAUAUGAAAAAAGCAACCCCAUUUAGUCCAGUCAACACUAAAAAUAGUGUGAAAUAAUGAAAUAGUUAAGCCAGUAACUUUUGGAGUGGUUUGUUAUAAAAUAAUAGAUAAUUAAAAUAGGAGUCAGCUGUGUACAGAGGUUAAUGAAGCCAUGAGAUGGUUAAGACAAUCAAUAUGUGACAUGAAAGAAAAAAGGCUAUCUUAGUCUGUUUUCUGUUACCUGAAUUCCAUAAACUGAGUAAUUUAUAAAGAAAAUAAAUGUAUUUAUUUCUUACAGUUCUAGAGGCUGAUAAGUCCAAGCAUAUGGUGCCAGCAUCUGGUGAGGCCUUCUUGCUGUGUAAUCUCAUGGCAGAAGAGUGGAAGGACAAGUGAGCACAUGCAAAAGGGAUUGUACAAGACUUAUCUUUUAGUUUCCAGAGGCAGAAAAAAGGCAGAAAAGGUUGUUGAAAUUCUUCACAUUGAUUUCAGGGCAAUGAUCUCAAAUGGCGCAGUGGGAACCAGCAAAUUUAAGAGGGUAGUUUCCCUGCACAAGCCCUUUUUUUGCCUGCUGCCAUCCAUGUAAGAUGUGACUUGCUCCUCCUUGUCUUCUACCAUGAUUGUGAGGCCUCCCCAGUUAUGUGGAACUCAAAGCUAGAGGAAACCAAAGUCAUAGAACAUCUGAACUCUGUCCAAACAUUGGUCAUAUUUCAAAAUUUCAGUAGCCACCAUCCCGCAGCCAACGAUAAUAUCUGACACUUCCUGACAUCAUGAAAGCCACCAUCUGUCUAUCACCAAAACCCUGUACUUUUUAAAGACUACUUGGCUUGAUCCUUAAUGAAGCUUCAAGUUGAAUGCACAGAUCACUUUAGAAGGAAUACAGGGAAUAAUUGACACAAGAGAUCUCCUGGAAAAAGCCCUAUACCUAAUAUUCUUGUUUGGAGGAAGAAACUGGGAAAAACAUCUGUCAUCUCCUCACCAGACCGAGUCUCGUUCUGUAGUCCAGGCUGGAGUGCAGUGGCGGGAUCUCCACUCACUGCAAGCUCCACCUUCCGGGUUAAAGCCAUUCUCCUGCCUCAGCCUGCUGAGUAGCUGAGACUACAGGCACUCCCCACCACACCCGGCUUAUUUUUUGUAUUUUUAGUAGAGACGGGGUUUCACCGUGUUAGCCAGGAUGGUCUCGAUCUCCUGACCUCGUGAUCUGCCUGCCUCGGCCUCCCAAAGUGCUGGUAUUACAGGCGUGAGCCACCACGCCAGGCCACAAUCUUUCAUUUUUAUAAUAAAUCAUUCAUGUGUAAUUGGUUUUAUUCUGAUCAUGAGGCUGAAACUAAAUGUUUUGGUCUUGGGUGAUAAUGGAAGCUUAAAGGUAAUAUCAACUACAAAGAGAGUUUUUAAACGUUUGGCCUGAAUAUUAUCAGCUUAAAAUUUGCACUGUUCUGUACCUGUUUCCCUUACAUAUCAAUUACUACUAUAUCACAUUUCAUUGGGUAGGAAUAAUCAAUAUUUUCAUUAAAUUACUUUAAGAGAUCAUCAAUUAAUAUACAUUUUCUAAUAAUUAUUAACAUAAACACUUUUUAAGUUGUAUUUUAAUGCAAACUAAAGAGCUUUAGAUACAUUCUGAGUCACAGAAUAAUAUCAAGCAGCAUAAUUUUAUGUCAAUCCCCACAAAUCAUAUAGCCUUAAAGAUGACUUUUUAAAUUUGUGAUUUUUUUUCUUUUAGUUCUGCAGGAUUAUUUUUUUGUUCUUAUUGUUGUUAAUAAGGAAUAACAUCUCUUUUCAUAAUUAUAGCAACAAAGUUUAGUUAAACAAAUUCAUCAGAUUUUAGUAAAUGAUAGCAUUCUAACUCUCAAAACAGUUAUCCCUAAAUAUAUUUGGUACAUGUUGUAAAACUAUAUUUAUUGUCAAGAGAAAAUGAAAUCUGGUUAUUAAGAUAUAUCAAGACUCUCCACUUUUUAAAUUAAGAAUAAAUCAAUUAUUCCUGGUGGAAUUUCCAAAACUAAUACUUCACCCAUCAACCUAAUUAGUAAUUAAAUAUAUCAAUAGCAUUGAAAAGAAGAAUGGCAUAUUAGUUAAGAUGCAUGAACUAUAUAAAGGUACAAUUCUCUUUUUAAAUGCACAUAUCCCAACAAAAUUUCUUUCACAAUAUGGCUAUAAAAUCAUAUGGUGAUUAACAACUGUAAAACUAGACAAAAUUUUUUCACUGUUUUCAGAAUAUAUUACUCCUUUUGGUAAACUGCUGUGGAAAAAAAAGUGCAGCUGUCACAUUCACAAAGUUAUCUCCCAUUGGCUAUGAGAAUUAUCUAAAUGUUACUAGCUUUCAUUUGCUCUUGUCAUCUGCAAAUGUGCCAAGUCGACUAGCCUUUCUAUUAAAAUAAAGACU
rnacentral:lncRNA from 1 species